AAACCUCUGGUGAACUUGUUGGUCCUGUUAAACGUCGGAGGAUCUUCGUUCGUGUAGAUAACAUUGAGGAACGAUGGUAUCGUACUACCACAGAGACGCUGAAGAAAGUCAAAUUUCAACGCGAUUUUUAUUAUAUUAUUUUGAACGAGCCAACAAAAUAUAAACGAGACGUGAAAGAAGAAUAUUUGGUUAUUAUAGAAUUCCUUCGAAUAUAGAAAAACAUGAAAAUUUGAAGAAAAUCGCAGCGAUGUUGAAGGAAGGACACAAGAUAUAUCGCGUCUCGAAGGUAUCCGGCCAUAAUUUACGAGAAAAUUUAUCAUCGUUAUCAAAUGCUCUAAAUAACCAUAUUUCAUUUCCUUAUUGUUCGACACAACGGUGUAUAGAACGAUGUGUACGAUAACAGGAGAAAAUUAAUUUCUGUUAUAGAAGCUGUGCUAACACGUGCUAACGAAAUUAAUAAGAAAUAUAGUAUAGAACUGUA